CAAUAACAGGUCUGUGAUGCCCUUAUAUGUUCUGGGCCGCACGCGCGCUACACUGAUGCGAUCAACGAGCCUAGCCUUGGCCGAGAGGUCCGGGUAAUCUUGCAAACCGCAUCGCGAUGGGGAUAGAUUAUUGCAAUUAUUAAUCUUCAACGAGGAAUGCCUAGUAAGCGCGAGUCAUCAGCUCGCGUUGAUUACGUCCCUGCCCUUUGUACACACCGCCCGUCGCUCCUACCGAUUGGGUGUGCUGGUGAAGCGUUCGGAUUGGUGGCUCCAAGCGGUUCGCCGCCGGGGGCAACCGAGAAGUUCGUUAAACCCUCCCACCUAGAGGAAGGAGAAGUCGUAACAAGGUUUCCGUAGGUGAACCUGCGGAAGGAUC
rnacentral:rRNA from 1 species